UGACACACAUAGCUUACUAAUAAGUGAGGAGGCAUGGCUUCUCUCCACCGUCAUCUUUGAAUGUGCAGAAACUCCUGCAAUUAAUCUAAGCCUACCAGAAGCAACGCUCUUGUGAGAGUGACGUGUCCCUUUACUACGAUGAGAACUAUCGGGAGUAGGGGAGUAGUACCACUUCCAACGCUGGAAGGGCACGCGUCGCAGGAGGCGCUGACAGCAGAGCCAUUCCACACACCUCAGGGGCAGAGAGCCGCGGGAGCCGGGGCCAGGCUGGAAGGAGAGACCCCGGGGAUGACGCCCUAAACCCGCCACCGCUUGCAGUUGCACAACGCGCAGGCCCGAGCACUUGCUAAGUGUCAGCGGCACGGCCCCACAUCGGGAUCAGAAAUGCGAACCAUCCGCCCAGCACACGCUCAGAUGACACGAAAGCUCUCUGCCGCCAGGUGGUGAAGGCUGUUGCACUGGCUGACAGCAGAGCAGGGCAUGACUUACUGUAGAUCUUGGCCUGGGAAGCCGAACACUGAGUACCCUGUACCCCGCUGACCUUGGGCAGC